rnacentral:tRNA from 1 species
GGGACCGUAGCCCAAUUGGUCGAGGCAACAGGUUUAGGUCCUGUCCAGUGUGGGUUCGAAUCCCAUCGGUCCCA